rnacentral:tRNA from 1 species
GGACCUUUAGCUCAGCUGGUUAGAGCAAACGGCUCAUAACCGUUCGGUCCUACAAGGUCCA